rnacentral:rRNA from 1 species
CCGUGUAUUGCAGUGGGUACGGGCAGACUAGAGUGCAGUAGGGGAGACUGGAAUUCCUGGUGUAGCGGUGGAAUGCGCAGAUAUCAGGAGGAACACCGAUGGCGAAGGCAGGUCUCUGGGCUGUAACUGACGCUGAGAAGCGAAAGCAUGGGGAGCGAACAGGAUUAGAUACCCUGGUAGUCCAUGCCGUAAACGUUGGGCACUAGGUGUGGGGGACAUUCCACGUUUUCCGCGCCGUAGCUAACGCAUUAAGUGCCCCGCCUGGGGAGUACGGCCGCAAGGCUAAAACUCAAAGAAAUUGACGGGGGCCCGCACAAGCGGCGGAGCAUGCGGAUUAAUUCGAUGCAACGCGAAGAACCUUACCAAGGCUUGACAUAUACUGGACCGCAUCAGAGAUGGUGUUUCCCUUCGGGGCUGGUAUACAGGUGGUGCAUGGUUGUCGUCAGCUCGUGUCGUGAGAUGUUGGGUUAAGUCCCGCAACGAGCGCAACCCUCGUUCUAUGUUGCCAGCACGUUAUGGUGUCGGAGUCGCUAGUAAUCGCAGAUCAGCAACGCUGCGGUGAAUACGUUCCCGGGCCUUGUACACACCGCCCGUCAAGUCACGAAAGUUGGUAACACCCAAAGCCGGUGGCCUAACCCUUUUGGGAGGGAGCCGUCUAAGGUGGGAUUGGCGAUUGGGACUAAGUCGUAACAAGGUAGCCGUACCGGAAGGUGCGGCUGGAUCACCUCCU